rnacentral:rRNA from 1 species
GAUUAACGCUGGCGGCGUGCGUAACACAUGCAAGUCGAACGAUGAAACUCAUUAGAUUUCUUCGGAAUGAAAAUGAAUGGAUUAGUGGCGAACGGGUGAGUAACGCGUGAGUAACCUGCCUUACACAAGGGGAUAGCCUCUGGAAACGGAGAAUAAUACCCUAUGAAACCAGACAAUCGCAUGAUAAUCUGGUCAAAAUGUUUAGUGGUGUAAGAUGGACUUGCGUCUGAUUAGCUAGUUGGUGAGAUAAAAGCUCACCAAGGCAACGAUCAGUAGCCGGCUUGAGAGAGUGUACGGCCACAUUGGGACUGAGACACGGCCCAGACUCCUACGGGAGGCAGCAGUGGGGAAUUUUGCACAAUGGGGGAAACCCUGAUGCAGCGACGCCGCGUGAUUUAGAAGGCCUUCGGGUUGUAAAAAUCUUUUGUAUAGGAAGAAAAUGACAGUACUAUACGAAUAAGGGCCGGCUAAUUACGUG